rnacentral:lncRNA from 1 species
UGGUAUGAUGAAUGCCCAAAGUCAAAUCUGAAGAGACUCGCCCGAAGGCUGUCUGGCCCUGAGACCCACCCGUAGGCUGUCUGGCCGGUGCCGAGCCUAAUGGCCCCGUGGUAGUCAACAUCCCCACUCUAGGAAUGAGCCUUUCCCACGGCAAUCCACUUCGGCGCCCAAUCUCGCACAGCGAAUAUGUAUCGCGAUGGCCAUCUCCGGAGUGCCGGCUUGUAGGGAGCGACCCUCACAA